UACGUAGGGUGCAAGCGUUAAUCGGAAUUACUGGGCGUAAAGCGUGCGCAGGCGGUUUUGUAAGACUGUCGUGAAAUCCCCGGGCUCAACCUGGGAAUGGCGAUGGUGACUGCAAGGCUAGAGUUUGGCAGAGGGGGGUAGAAUUCCACGCGUAGCAGUGAAAUGCGUAGAUAUGUGGAGGAACACCGAUGGCGAAGGCAGCCCCCUGGGUCAAAACUGACGCUCAUGCACGAAAGCGUGGGGAGCAAACAGG
rnacentral:rRNA from 1 species